rnacentral:rRNA from 1 species
GAACGGUGAAGGAGAGCUUGCUCUCCGGAUCAGUGGCGAACGGGUUGAUUAACACGUGAGCAAUCUGCCCCUGACUCUGGGAUAAGCGUUGGAAACGACGUCUAAUACCGGAUACGAGCUGCGAAGGCAUCUUCAGCAGCUGGAAAGAACUUCGGUCAGGGAUGAGCUCGCGGCCUAUCAGCUAGUUGGUGAGGUAAUGGCUCACCAAGGCGUCGACGGGUAGCCGGCCUGAGAGGGUGACCGGCCACACUGGGACUGAGACACGGCCCAGACUCCUACGGGAGGCAGCAGUGGGGAAUAUUGCACAAUGGGCGCAAGCCUGAUGCAGCAACGCCGCGUGAGGGACGACGGGCUUCGGGUUGUAAACCUCUUUUAGCAGGGAAGAAGCGAAAGUGACGGUACCUGCAGAAAAAGCACCGGCUAACUACGUGCCAGCAGCCGCGGUAAUACGUAGGGUGCAAGCGUUAUCCGGAAUUAUUGGGCGUAAAGAGCUCGUAGGCGGUUUGUCGCGUCUGCUGUGAAAACCCGAGGCUCAACCUCGGGCCUGCAGUGGGUACGGGCAGACUAGAGUGCGGUAGGGGAGAUUGGAAUUCCUGGUGUAGCGGUGGAAUGCGCAGAUAUCAGG